rnacentral:lncRNA from 1 species
CUGUAAAUUUUCUCACAUAAUCCUAAUUCUAUUUCUUUUUACAGGAACUGUGAGCGGUGACUCUUGUGAAUACCUGCUGUUUUCUGUGUCAGGGAGCUGAGGAAUCCACGGUCACACAGAGACUGGACUCAAACCAGGGUCCUGCAUGUUUUUUUCUCCUCUAAGAGUUCCCACAGCUGCAAGUGACUAAAAUCUGCUUCCCCAGAUGCAAUGUGGCUGAGGAAUCAACAUCUGGAUCUGACAGUCCGUUCGGCUUCUUCUUCCAGAGCGGAGAUGGAGUUGCAUCGUGUUGCCCAGGCUGAUAUUGAACUCCUGGACUCAAGUGAUCCACCCACCUUGGUUUUCUAAAAUGCUGGGAUUACGGGUGUGAGCUACUGUACCCAGCCUAUAUACAUAUUCUAAUAUAUAAUAAUUAUAUAUAAUAACUAUAUAUGUAAUAAUUUUACAUAUAUAUAUAUACA